rnacentral:sRNA from 1 species
UAGAGUCCAGGUUACCCGCCGUGCCA